UUAGGAUCGACGUCCUUUGCCAAUCUUGAGUAUAGUUAUUGUCGAGACACGGGGAAGCCCAUAAUGCCGAUCAAUUUGAAGGCGAAGUUAGCUUACGACACCUUUCACUCAACAUAUAAAAAUGAAGACAAGAUUAAAGAAAACAUGGUUUUGGUGGAUAAUAUUGCUGCCGCGUCGAAGGAUGCAGCACUACGUGCUACCCAAGAAGCUUCUGAUGACCCUCAUGUCUUGUCUAGAGAGGAAAAUAAUGCCAUUGCAAUGAAUGUGAUGCGGUAUAAUAACCGAG